GCGACCCCAGGAUGGGCGAGGCCACCCGCUGAGUUUAACAUAA
rnacentral:rRNA from 1 species